rnacentral:rRNA from 1 species
CACGUAGGGUGCGAGCGUUGUCCGGAAUUAUUGGGCGUAAAGAGCUCGUAGGCGGUGUGUCGCGUCGGCCGUGAAAACUUGCAGCUUAACUGUGGGCGUGCGGUCGAUACGGGCAUCACUGGAGUUCGGCAGGGGAGACUGGAAUUCCUGGUGUAGCGGUGAAAUGCGCAGAUAUCAGGAGGAACACCGGUGGCGAAGGCGGGUCUCUGGGCCGAUACUGACGCUGAGGAGCGAAAGCGUGGGGAGCGAACAGGAUUAGAUACCCUGGUAGUCCACGCCGUAAACGUUGGGCGCUAGGUGUGGGGACCAUUCCACGGUUUCUGUGCCGUAGCUAACGCAUUAAGCGCCCCGCCUGGGGAGUACGGCCGCAAGGCUAAA